GACGAACGCUGGCGGCGUGCCUAAUACAUGCAAGUAGAACGCUGAAGGAGGAGCUUGCUUCUCUGGAUGAGUUGCGAACGGGUGAGUAACGCGUAGGUAACCUGCCUGGUAGCGGGGGAUAACUAUUGGAAACGAUAGCUAAUACCGCAUAAUAGUAGAUGUUGCAUGACAUUUGCUUAAAAGGUGCAAUUGCAUCACUACCAGAUGGACCUGCGUUGCAUUAGCUAGUUGGUGGGGUAACGGCUCACCAAGGCGACGAUACAUAGCCGACCUGAGAGGGUGAUCGGCCACACUGGGACUGAGACACGGCCCAGACUCCUACGGGAGGCAGCAGUAGGGAAUCUUCGGCAAUGGACGGAAGUCUGACCGAGCAACGCCGCGUGAGUGAAGAAGGUUUUCGGAUCGUAAAGCUCUGUUGUAAGAGAAGAACGAGUGUGAGAGUGGAAAGUUCACACUGUGACGGUAUCUUACCAGAAAGGGACGGCUAACUACGUG
rnacentral:rRNA from 1 species